GACGAACGCUGGCGGCGUGCUUAACACAUGCAAGUCGAGCGGUAAGGCCCCUUCUUUGGUACACGCUCGGCUAACGAGUGAGUAACACGUACGCAAUUUGCCCAUCACUUCGGGUUGACUCCCUUCAGCCGACUCUAACUCCUACUACGUCCACCUCCGGCCUCGGUUGGUGGUGGUAAAUUGCGGCGGUGGUGGAUGAGAUCGUCGCCUAUCAGCUUGUUGGUGGGGUAACGGUGAACCAAGGCUUCGACGGGUAGCCGGCCUGAGAGGGUGACCGGCCACACUGGGACUGAGACACGGCCCAGACUCCUACGGGAGGCAGCAGCGGGGAAUAUUGGACAAUGGGCGAAAGCCUGAUGCAGCAACGCCGCGUGAGGGAUGACGGCCUUCGGGUUGUAAACCGCUUUCAGCAGUGACGAAGCGCAAGUGACGGUAACUGCAGAAGAAGCACCGGCCAACUACGUG
rnacentral:rRNA from 1 species